rfam:Gossypium raimondii Chr08_contig_711, whole genome shotgun sequence.
UAUUAAAAUUUUUAUCCAAUUGUGCAAUUAAAAACUAGUGUAGCUAACGAAAUAACCAAACAAUGACAUGUGAAAUACCAUGUGUACAUCAUACUGAUGUCCAGAGACUAGUUUUUAACAGUAGAAAUAAAUAAAAAUUUUAACA